UACGAAGGGAACUAGCGUUGUUCGGAAUCACUGGGCGUAAAGCGCGUGUAGGCGGUCCGGUAAGUCCGCUGUGAAAGUCGGGGGCUCAACCCUCGAAUGCCGGUGGAUACUGUCGGGCUAGAGCGCGGAAGAGGCGAGUGGAAUUCCUGGUGUAGCGGUGAAAUGCGCAGAUAUCAGGAGGAACACCAAUUGCGAAGGCAGCUCGCUGGGACGUAACUGACGCUGAGACGCGAAAGCGUGGGGAGCGAACAGG
rnacentral:rRNA from 1 species